rnacentral:lncRNA from 1 species
UUUUUUUUUCGUCUAAAUUAUUUCAUUAUAUUAUACGAUUGAGGAAUACAGGGGUGGAAUACGUUUUUAAUACACAAAGCCGGCGGAAGACAUAGAUAUCCCGGGAAACUAAGCCCAAACGAGGGAAGCAUGAAAACAGAACGGGGCAUAGCUCUCAAAAGACGAAACAAAAGGCAACGACUAAAAUUAAGAACUCUAAAGAAGAGAUUUGCUGACUUAUACUCCUCUAAACCAAGAUGAUCAAAGCCACUCACAAACAACGCAAGCAACGAAACCUCCUAUAGUGAAUCAAAACUACCUCUCACACGAAGUGAACCUAGACUUCUAUUCCGGCAAGAAAGAACCAAGACAAAGUAUUCUAGUUCCUCCAAACUUCUUCCGAAAGCGGCGAUGUCGAAAACAAACGACUUUUAAACGCCUAAGUAACAGUCUUUGAACUGACCAGACCUCGAUCAGGUCUUGAAUGUAGAAACAAGGAGCGAAACCAACCUCAAAACCGGAAGAUACCAUACUCAGAAAAGCACAGCACAAGAUCGAACCGGAGAGACCACCAUAACGACCAUCAGCAGAAAAGAGGAGCAAAAUCAACCAAUCCAAUACAAAAAGAGAACAAGCAAGUCAAAGCCACGCUCCGGACUAGCAACCAAAAUCAGAGAAUAAGGGGCAGUCAAACUAUAGAUCCGGAACAUACGACCAAGGCGUACGAACAAGCCGACGAAAUAGAGCCAACAUAAAGCCAUUCAUCCUCUGAUCCAGCCUAAGUCAACUAUUAAACCACCCGAACAACAACUAAGCCAAAUACUGAGUCAACGAGACAAAAGAAGCUAAAGGAGCAGAUUACCGGAGUCAAGGACGCAAAGGAACAGAACGUGGCGAAACACAUGAAGAAGCAGAUCCACCAACUACUAGAUCGGCGAGAAACCACAACGAGGAGGAUACAAAACGACGAGGAUACAAAACGACGAAGAUUAGAGCAGAUCCCGGAGCACAUAGACAACAAGGAGCCAGCUCUAUUCCCCCACAACCUAAAAGACUCGCUGCCACUUUAACCUUGACAACAACCACACAUUGAGCAACGGAGGAGACUGAGCAGAGGGCUAACAAAGAAAGGAAAUACCAACAUGAUCCUCUCACAGCUCCGGCGAGAAGCACCGGAAGCCGGAGAGGACAGAUCUAUAAAACGGGCGAGUCUUCUUCUUUGGCGGCUAGGGCGACGAACUAAACGAGUUGUCAGUUUUUGUACUGCGUAUAUAUUUAUUUCUCU